rnacentral:rRNA from 1 species
AACAAACGCUGGCGGCGUGCCUAACACAUGCAAGUCGUACGAGAAAGUCGGCUUCGGCUGAUGAGUAAAGUGGCGCACGGGUGAGUAACGCGUGGAUAAUCUACCCUUUAGUCUGGAAUAACUUGCCGAAAGGUGAACUAAUACCGGAUAAUAUGCCGAUUUCCCCGGAGAUCGGCAUCAAAGAAGGCUUCUGUUUACAUGCUUUUGCUUAAGGAUGAGUCCGCGUACCAUUAGCUAGUUGGUAGGGUAACGGCCUACCAAGGUUAUGAUGGUUAGCUGGUCUGAGAGGAUGAUCAGCCACACUGGAACUGAGACACGGUCCAGACUCCUACGGGUGGCUG